CGCAGAGUUUUGCAAUGCAGGAGUCCAUUUUCAAUGGAUGCAAGCAGUUUGUAUGUGCACUGUACGGUGCCACAGGCUCCUCUGCCAAUGUCAAUGGCUUGCGGUACAAGCUGUUCUGCGAUGCCAGCAAGGCACGAGACCCAAGGCAACUUCCACCUUGCGAGGACGCCCUUCUCCAGCACGCACGUCGUGCCAAUUACCAGGCAGCUAUCUGGAAGUCUGCGUUGCAACGCCAACCCGACCAACCCAGUCCUGAUGGCCAGGGAUGGACUAUCGAGGCAGGUGUACUAGUAUUGAAGAUUGCUUGGCUAUUAACCAACGUGGCACCCAAGGAGGUUCUAGCCAUGGUGGAGUGCAACUGCGUGGUCGGAGACUGCUCCAGCCAGAGGUGUGCAUGCCACAAGUCCAUGUUGCCUUGCACAGAUGUAUGUGGCUGUCGAACUUGCUCCACCAAACCUGGUUCCAGCAGCAGCACCACCACUUCGGAGUCUGUGGAGGAUUCCUCCGAUUCCAGUGACUGUGGAUCUGACAGUGAUCCUGAGCCCGCUGAUCAGAAUGAUGCAGCCACAUGACGAGCCUGUCAUCAUUACUACUACAGUCUACGCAGUUGACUAUUUCGACACAUCCAAGACCAGACUCACCAUCGGAAACAUUGUCCAUCAUCUCUCCUACCCGGAUGGGACGAAGUAUCCGUUAACGCCAAUGGGUCAACGGGACAGGACGGGACAGGGGAUAGGUGUGUGUGUGUGUGUGUGUGUGUGUUUCCGCCAUGAGUGCCCAUGCUGCAACAGGCAAUUUCGGCGUCCCCAGGAUCUGGGACGGCAUCAGCCGUACUGUCAUUGAUGAACUUCUUCCGUGACGUCGUCUCCCACAUCUUGGGAGCGGCGUGGCCAGCAAUUGCAGCUGUAUAUAGUAGUAAUAGUAGUAGUAGUGUUAAUUAAUGUGUGUGUGUGUGUGUGUGUG